AGUGAACGCUGGCGGUAGGCCUAACACAUGCAAGUCGAACGGCAGCACAGUAAGAGCUUGCUCUUACGGGUGGCGAGUGGCGGACGGGUGAGGAAUACAUCGGAAUCUACUUUUUCGUGGGGGAUAACGUAGGGAAACUUACGCUAAUACCGCAUACGACCUACGGGUGAAAGCAGGGGAUCUUCGGACCUUGCGCGAUUGAAUGAGCCGAUGUCGGAUUAGCUAGUUGGCGGGGUAAAGGCCCACCAAGGCGACGAUCCGUAGCUGGUCUGAGAGGAUGAUCAGCCACACUGGAACUGAGACACGGUCCAGACUCCUACGGGAGGCAGCAGUGGGGAAUAUUGGACAAUGGGCGCAAGCCUGAUCCAGCCAUACCGCGUGGGUAAAGAAGGCCUUCGGGUUGUAAAGCCCUUUUGUUGGGAAAGAGAAGCAGCAGGUUAAUACCCCGCUGUUCUGACGGUACCCAAAGAAUAAGCACCGGCUAACUUCGUG
rnacentral:rRNA from 1 species